rnacentral:rRNA from 1 species
UAGGGAAUCUUCGGCAAUGGACGAAAGUCUGACCGAGCAACGCCGCGUGAGUGAAGAAGGUUUUCGGAUCGUAAAACUCUGUUGUUAGAGAAGAACAAGGACGUUAGUAACUGAACGUCCCCUGACGGUAUCUAACCAGAAAGCCACGGCUAACUACGUGCCAGCAGCCGCGGUAAUACGUAGGUGGCAAGCGUUGUCCGGAUUUAUUGGGCGUAAAGCGAGCGCAGGCGGUUUCUUAAGUCUGAUGUGAAAGCCCCCGGCUCAACCGGGGAGGGUCAUUGGAAACUGGGAUACUUGAGUGCAGAAGAGGAGAGUGGAAUCCCAUGUGUAGCGGUGAAAUGCGUAGAUAUAUGGAGGAACACCAGUGGCGAAGGCGGCUCUCUGGUCUGUAACUGACGCUGAGGCUCGAAAGCGUGGGGAGCAAACAGG